GCCCUGAUAGUUAAGUGGUAUAACGUAUCCAUGGUAAGGAUAAAUCCUAAGUUCGAUUCUUAGUCAGGGCA
rnacentral:tRNA from 1 species